CCUACGGGUGGCAGCAGUGAGGAAUAUUGGUCAAUGGACGAGAGUCUGAACCAGCCAAGUAGCGUGAAGGAUGACUGCCCUAUGGGUUGUAAACUUCUUUUAUAUGGGAAUAAAAUGUGGCACGUGUGGAAUUUUGUAUGUACUAUAUGAAUAAGGAUCGGCUAACUCCGUGCCAGCAGCCGCGGUAAUACGGAGGAUCCGAGCGUUAUCCGGAUUUAUUGGGUUUAACGGGAGCGUAGAUGGAUUGUUAAGUCAGUUGUGAAAGUUUGCGGCUCAACCGUAAAAUUGCAAUUGAAACUGGCAGUCUUGAGUACAGUAGAGGUAGGCGGAAUUCGUGGUGUAGCGGUGAAAUGCUGAGAUAUCACGAAGAACUCCGAUUGCGAAGGCAGCUUACUGGACUGCAACUGACAUUGAGGCUCGAAAGUGUGGGUAUCAAACAGGAUUAGAUACCCGAGUAGUC
rnacentral:rRNA from 1 species